GGCGAGUUACGAUUUGAUGCAAGGUUAAGCAGUAAAUGUGGAGCCGUAGCGAAAGCGAGUCUGAAUAGGGCGUUUAGUAUUUGGUCGUAGACCCGAAACCAGGUGAUCUACCCUUGGUCAGGUUGAAGUUCAGGUAACACUGAAUGGAGGACCGAACCGACUUACGUUGAAAAGUGAGCGGAUGAACUGAGGGUAGCGGAGAAAUUCCAAUCGAACCUGGAGAUAGCUGGUUCUCUCCGAAAUAGCUUUAGGGCUAGCCUCAAGUGAUGAUUAUUGGAGGUAGAGCACUGUUUGGACGAGGGGCCCCUCUCGGGUUACCGAAUUCAGACAAACUCCGAAUGCCAAUUAAUUUAACUUGGGAGUCAGAACAUGGGUGAUAAGGUCCGUGUUCGAAAGGGAAACAGCCCAGACCACCAGCUAAGGUCCCAAAAUAUAUGUUAAGUGGAAAAGGAUGUGGCGUUGCCCAGACAACUAGGAUGUUGGCUUAGAAGCAGCCAUCAUUUAAAGAGUGCGUAAUAGCUCACUAGUCGAG
rnacentral:rRNA from 1 species